CGGAAACGGGAGAGGGAGGGAGGAGGGAGGAGACCGGGACAGGGAGAGAGAGGGAGGGAGGAGGCUAGGGUUUCGCAGUUAAACCCGAAAACUUUAGCCGAAGAAAUAAUUAUUUCGUCGGCUAAAGCUACGAAUUUCGUCGGCUAUACAUCAAUUCGUCGGCUAAACCUUCUAAAUUCGUCGGCUAAAACUUUGAAAUUCGUCGGCUAAACUUUAUAAAUUCGUCGGCUAACCAUUGAAAUUCGUUGGCUAAAAGUAUUUUUAUACAUUUGGCACAUUGUGAGUGUGAUGAUCAAACUUGAGAAAAAUAAAUCCGACCGUCAGAUCUGACCAUCAUGAUAAAAUACAUGUAUGGGAAAAAAUUCAACUUGAUCCGACAAGAAUAAGGGCUCGAUCCGGACGGUCAAUCUCGUAAGUCAAACCCUAAACGCACGGAAAAGGUCGUUUGACCGUCUAAAUUACGUAUUUUAGCCGGACCUCCAACUGAAAAUAGUUUUAAAUCGAUGACACACAACAAGUCGUAUAAAAAUUUUACGCAAAAUAACCACUGAAUAUAGGGCUACUCAUAGGGGGAAAGAAUGAAAAAUUGCAUUGACCGCAACUAUCGGCACCGAAUAUUUACCGGAAUAGUGUGAUUUUUCAGCCGUGGAUGUAUUUCAACAUUUUCGUCAUAUCUUAUUUCAUGACUUUUUAGCGUUUGAAGGUUUUACAUAUAGUUUGUUUUUGAAACGGAACAUUUACAUAACACUUGGUAAACAAGUUAUACAACAUUAGUAUGCAUGUUGUGAUUGUGAUGAUCAAACUUGAGAAAAAUAAAUCCGACCGUCAGAUCUGACCAUCAUGACAAAAUACAUGUAUGGGAAAAAAUUCAACUUGAUCCGACAAGAAUAGGGGCUCGAUCCGGACGGUCAAUCUUGUAAGUCAAACCCCUAAACGCACGGAAAAUGUCGUUCGACCGUCUAAAUUACGUAUUUUGGCCGGACCUCCAACUGAAAAUAGUUUCAAACCGAUGAGACGCAAGAAGUCGUCUAAAAAUUUUACGGAAAAUAACAACCGAAGAUAGGGCUAUAGUUGGUAAUAGAAAAAUUUUAGAGUUUAGCCGACGAAUACCCUAACUUAUUCGUCGGCUAUAGUAUGUAAUUAAAAAAUUAAAAAAUAACUAAAGCCGACGAAAUAUUAGGUUAUUCGUCGGCUAAAACUUUAUUAGCCGACGAAAUACACUAUAAUUCGUCGGUUAAGAUGGUUUUAGCCGACGAAAUAUACUAUAUUUUGUCGGCUAAGAUGGCUUUAGCCGACGAAAUACACUAUAAUUCGUCGGCUAAGAUGGUUUUAGCCGACGAAUAUAGUAUAUUUCGUCGGCUA
rnacentral:lncRNA from 1 species